CAGAAAAGUUUUUUUGAAAUUUAUUUAAACUGAAUUUGAUUUUAGCAAAAUCACACAGAACAGAGUAAAUAUUAAGUGGAACCUGUAGCAAUUUAAAAAUUAAAUAUAAGACCUACACUCCCUUGAUGACACAAGCAUUCUGUGAACUUAAUGUAUAUUUCUCACCUUUUUUCUUUUUAGACGUUUUUACGUUCCAACCUCCCGCAAUGUACUGGAAAAUCAUCACUGAAGCCUGGUUUAGCGUUUGACAAUUUGGGCUUUCAGGCUAGCAUAGAUGAUGUUUCCUCUUCAUCCUCUAACAUAAGCUCUGUUGUAGUGGAUAUUAUAGGUAUGACCUGCCAAUCAUGUGUCCAAUCCAUUGAGGGUAAGAUUUCGAAGAUACCAAGUAUUGUGAACAUAAAGGUUUGCUUGGAACAAAACAAUGCCGUCGUAAUUUAUAAACCUGCAGUAAUAACACCACAACAAAUCUGUGAAGAAAUAGAAGAUAUGGGUUUCGAUGCCACUAUAUCCGACGUUAAAGAAGUUUUGCUGGCUAUAAAACCUGGGAAUUAUAUAGAGGAAACAGUCA